UAUUACUUUUGACACACUUUAUUAACUUUUUUAAUAAAGAAAAAGUAAACCGCCGUGUACUUUUUUCGGGGGAAGUAGAACCAUUGUAAAGGGUGGUUUUAAUAUAAAAAGGCAUCCAAGUUCGUCUCUCUCAUUCUCUCCGCUUCCAGCUAGCAGUAACGUUCAACUGUCUAAAGCUCAGAAGGUAGGAGAUGAUGUGAAUUUAAUGAAAAUGUAUAUAAGUUCACAAGGUGUUUGCACAAAUGCUUCAAAGAAGCUUUUUAUAAUAACUAUUUAAACCAAUAAUAAUAAUACAAUGUAAAAUGAUGUCCAUCCAUCCAUGUACCAUUCAACAUUAUAGAAGUGUGCAUUGUCAUUUCUAGACGACUACAUUACUUGAUAUAUUAAUUGAAUGGUUAUUUGGCAAAACAAAAAUAUUAAUUGAAUGGACUUUGAAAAUUGGGGCUACCCUGCAUCGAGGCUGACGGUGGUGCUAGAAGGAUGUCAGUUUUUGAUGAACUCAAAAAGUCGAUGGGCUAACAAAUGAACAAAGAGUUAAAGUUGGAAAACUUCUUGUCCAAAAUCAAGCUCAAAUACUGACUACUUCUUCAUAUUAGAUGAAGAGUUUAAGCUUGGAUUUCUUAUGGAGCUGCUAGAAUGAUUCUGAAUAAUCUAAUUGUGGGCUACCUAGGAAAUUUUUUGUGUAGCAUUUUGUCAUACUCAUGCUCUAGAAAUUAUUUUGCCAAAUGAACCGUGAGCUAGCUAGGAAACUUUUUGUAUAACAUUUUAUCAUUCAUGUAUGCUUUAGAAAGAAACUACUUUACCAGAUGAAUGGCGACCUUGUGUGCUAUUUUGUUAUAUGCAUGCUUUGGGUGUUCUGUUCAGGAAAUUUGGCUAGCUUACAUAUAUAAUGUAACUUUUUUGUACUAUAUGCUAUGAAGUACUCUUAUAACUUGUUAUAUAUAAUUCUAUGAAAAAUAUUUUA